rnacentral:rRNA from 1 species
GGGAGCGCACAACCGGUGGAGCAUGUGGUUUAAUUCGAUACAAAGCGAAAAACCUUACCUGGGUUUGACAUGUACCUGCACGGCUUUGGAAACAUAGCCUUCUUCGAGAGUGGUACACAGGUGAUGCAUGGCUGUCGUCAGCUCGUGUCGUGAGACGUCCACUUAAGUGUGGUAACGAGCGCAACCCUUAUCUUGUGUUAUAUGUAUCACGAGAGACGGCCCCGCCUAUGGCGGGGAGGAAGGAGAGGACGACGUCAAGUCAGCACGUCCCUUACAUCCAGGGCAACACACAUCCUACAAUGGAGCCGACAACGGGUAGCGACGGGGUAACCCCGAGCCAAUCCUCAUAAACGGCUCCUCAGUUCAGAUUGAGGGCUGCAACCCGCCCUCAUGAAGUCGGAAUCGGUAGUAAUCGCAAAUCAGCAGGUUGCGGUGAAUACGUUCUCGCUCCUU